CCCUUAUAUGUUCUGGGCCGCACGCGUGCUACACUGAGUGGAUCAGCGGGUCAGGUUGCGCGAAAGUGUUUCCUAAUCUUUAAAUCCGCUCGUGAUGGGGAUUGACGGUUGCAAUUUUCCGUCAUGAACGAGGAAUACCUUGUAAGCGCGGGUCAUCAUCCCGCGCUGAAUACGUCCCUGCCCUUUGUACACACCGCCCGUCGCUCCUACCGAUUGAGUGGUCCGGUGAGGCUUUGGGAUCUGAGCGGAAAGAGCGUUUCGCUGUUUCUGCCCGGAAAACUCAGUCGAACCUUAUCAUUUAGAGGAAGGAGAAGUCGUAACA
rnacentral:rRNA from 1 species